ensembl:snRNA U6 U6 spliceosomal RNA
GUGCUCGAUUCAGCAGCACAUAUAUUAAAAUUGGAAUGAUACAGAGAUUAGCAUGGCCCCUGAGCAAGGAUGAUACGCAAAUUCGUGAAGCAUUCCAUAUUUUU